UUUCAUAUAGUUUACAUAGAACAUAACAUUUUCAAUGUUAAAGAGUCCUGACUGUGAAAU
rnacentral:tRNA from 1 species